AACACUUUCUAGAUGACCGAAGGAAUUUUAGGAAACGGGAUGCAUUUUAUGCAUUUUCUGCAGGGAAAAGGUCAUGUUUGGGUGAGCAGCUCGCACGAAAUACACUCUUCCUGUUCUUCACUUCCCUCCUCCAGAGGUUCUCGUUCUCAGCUCCUGAAGGAUUAGGACCUCACUGUAAGGACCAGGAACAGAUCAAGAUGUCUCAAGAAUCCUCCCAGACCUUUGUGUCAUUACGUCAAGAGAAACGGGAAUCAGAUCUGAACUGAUACUGAGUUCUAUUAAUAGAUGGAUGUUAUGUUAAUACAUGCAGUAAAAUGCAGUCUUUUUGAUUCGGUUCAAUAUGAAAAGAUUUAUUCCACAGCGAUAAAGCAUAUGCAAGGACAUGUGCAUUAUGAAUGUAAUUUUUGUAAAGAUGUUUAGAUUGUAAAAUGUUAAUACAAUUCAAAUGUGAAAAUUAUGCUGUAUAUUGUAGCGUGUAAUCAAUCUAAAAUCUACUUAUUCCCAUAAACCAUUCAACAAAUAAUUAAGAAAUACAAAAAACAUCCAUGAAUCCAGCACAACUAGACAACUAC